UUACCAGCUGUCAAACUCAAACGCCACCUCUACUGACUACAGACAGAGACCAGUGGCCUGUAAAUGGGAGGCUCUCCUGCACCAUGGGGCAGCAAACGCAUUAGCUAAACAAGCUAGGUGGGUGCUGAAAGAUGAUGAUGUGAACUGCCAGAGAUUUUCUCAAGGAUGCCUCUGCCCAUUAUUGAUGGUAGGAAAGGGGGGUGCUGAAAGAUCUGUGAACUGCCAAAGACUUUCUCAAGGAUGUCUCUGUCCAUUGUUAAAGACUGCUCUGACACAUUGGCUGGUACGUAGGACUGCUGAGGAGAGAAAGGAAAUAUGGGAAGGGUGACCAGGGAGAAGACAUGCACCAGACAGCACCAGGACAAUGCCUCACUGCAGGGAGGACUGCAGCCUCAGUAGAUAAACAUCUGCUCUGCAGAGCCAAACUGGCGCCUGCUAUGUAAGAUAUUUUCAUACCUAAGUAUUGAGGUUCCUGUUUUACGGCCUCUAAUUUAUUUUCUGUUGUUUAUUUGGCACCAAAACACCAAGUCAGAUUCCUUAUACUUGAAACUUGUACUUGGCAAUAAACAUCAAGGACGGGGGUCAAGUUAAAAAAAAUAGAAAAGAAAAUCAUGUAUGAACACUUUUGAGCCUCUGAGCAAAAUACACACGUGUGUGAAGUGUGAGCAAAGAGCUGAGAACAACAAACUCAGAGAGUCUGACUUUCUUCUUUUUUAGAAAGUAAAUUCUCAACAAUAAACUGAGCUGGAAAUAUUUGAUAUCUACUAUUUAUGUUAAAAAUGAGCAUAUUAUGCCUUUGAAAGGAAAUCAUACAGCAAUGCUAAAUUUUUGUUAAUUGGUUUAAAUUAAUAACUUCUAAACACACUAGAGACCCAUGCAUGACAACAAAUACUGACAGAUUUAACAGUUUUGUUCUCAUGGUGAGCAACACAGCAAACCACACUAACAGAUGAAUUCACCAAUAACCAGAGCUUACAGUCCCAAGACUUGAAAAGUGUGUGGUCAAAUGCAGGUAGGGUAGUCAAGCUAAAUGUGGCUAGCUGUUAGCCACCUUCUACAUCCAUUACAGUCCAGCUCCUCCUUUUUGCCAGGUGGCUUAGGGCAUGCUGUAUGAGCACUCCUGUUAAAGCCACAAACCAACCAUUUGCCUCCAUUUCUGACGUCCAUUGAAGUUUUUGCUUCACAUUUACUACCAUGGCUGUGUUUGUUGUGCUUCCUCCUUGCUUUCUCCUUGGCCAGUGCCCUGUUCCACGUAGCAAUCCUGCUCAUGUCUGCUCAGGUGUCCUCAGUUCCCCACACAACAGGAUUUUAGAGUGUAAAUAUCGAGCACGUUUGAUAUUUACGAUCUCAAGUCAGAGCGGCUCUGAUAGGCCAAUCAGAUCAGAGAGGGAAAGAUCACUCUUAACACAUCACAUCCAGAGGAAGAUCUGUCACAGUAAUCUUCAUCAAUCAAUAAUCAGGCCUUUGCUGACUUUGGUGGGAAGGGGGAAAUAGGGUUAAAACUGAUUUUCUUGUAGUGUGCGCCAGGCUAUAUUCAGGUUCUCCACACAAUCAUUCUCUCAUUCAAAUUCAUGGUAGAUAACCAAGUUAAAGCAACUGUGAGGAAUUUUAACUGAUCAUGAACCAGGCUGAAAUUAACAGUGAUGCCUGUAUACCACCAAAAAAAACAACAACAUCAGACUGUCAGCAGAUUUAUUGUUUUUUUUUUUAAUGUUCCAAUUCCGAUACCAGUAUCAGAAAUCCGUCCGAUUCUGCUGUAAAUGAGGGUACUAGCACUGGCCAUUACACGUGCCUAUGCAAUGAUCCUAAAGUUUUAACUUUAUAUUUUGCUUCAUUUAUGCUGUAUGUUAGAGUUAUACCCUCCUGACAGCAGAGCUUUGUUUUGGAAUGCAAUUUCCUAAAAAAUUAUUAGAGAUUUCUAAAACAUAAAAAUAGACUGCCUCAAAUUUCCUAGACAUUAACAAAAAUUUCAGUGAAAAUUAAUUUAAUUCUUUUUCAAUCCCAUUAAACUAUCCCAAACAUUCCUCAAAUAUCCCAGUAAAACUUUCUGGAUAAAAGCCUGCACAUUUAAAUGACAUUUCCCCCAAAAUUCUAUGAAAAUUCCUGAAAUUUUAAGCCAUUUCCCCAAAUAUUCAAAGCAAUUCCAUCCAAAAUUUCAAACCAAAAUCCCCUAAAUUUACAACUAAAUUACAACAAAAUGUCAAAAAUGAUGGAAACUUUGCAAAUUCCCUAAAAUUUCCA